AUCAGAUCUUAUGAGAAUUCACUCACUAUCACAAGAACAGCAUGAGGGAAACAGCCCCCAUAAUCCAAUCACUCCCCUCCCUCAACAUGUGGGGAUUACAAUUUGAGAUGAGAUUUGGGUGGGGACACAGAGAUAAACCGUAUCAGCUAGGUUGCCUAGGAUUUGAGAGAAAUCAGUAAUCAUGAUCAUAUUUCUCCAUGUUCUACUCCAGGCAAAGCAAACAAACAAACAAAAAAACACUAAUUGGGCAGAAGAUGACAUAUUUAUGCCUCAGGUGCUCCAGGAUUUUCCCUUUUGAAACAGGAUAAAUAUAAUCCUUCUGGCCAGAAGAAGGUGUUAUUGGAGGGAUAAAUGAGGUAUUUUAGUGACAUGAGCACCCAAGUACACUGACUUGCUAAUGACCAAGAGUCAAGGAAUUUUCUUCCCCAGCAUAUAAAAGGAUUUGGUCCCCAUUCACAGACAAAUAUAUAAACAUAAGCACACAGGCUUUUAGUACUUUUGAAGGAGUCAUUUUUAGGUUCAGUCUGAUUUGCUGUUAUCAGUCAGUUUUAAGAGUGGGAAAAAUUGCAUUGCAUAAAGACCAACUUUGAUUAGCAUUUGCAAAACCAAAAAUGACAAAUAAACUGGUUUUCUUUUUGCAUUUUCUCCUGAGAAACAAGAGUUUUAGUUGUUGAGUUAUAGCAACAAGUAUUCUUUUUCCAUGCUUAAGAGAACAAGAUCAAAUUGAAACAGGGUAGGUUUUUGUCCUAGUUUCCCUUUAUGUGCACCCUGAUAAUAAAUAAUGUUUGCAUAUACUAGUUCUACUGUGGCAUUGGGAAUUCCCAAGCAGUUUGUUAUUGAAGUUACUCAUGAGUCAUAGUGGAAGGACAAAGUUUUAUAGCAAUCAUGGCAGAUCCAAUUAGAAAAAGUAACAUAUGUGACAUUAUUGACUAAUUUCCUUAAGGCAUUUUCAUUCCAAGCAUUUAUAACUGAUAUAACAGUUAAAAAAUUAAUAACACAAUCAUUGUUUAUUAUAAUUUUGUUGAGCCUUUUCUAACAAAUAUGCAGCAAAAAUCUCACAUAAAUGUCAACAGUUAACACAACCUCCAUAGCAAAUUUUCUGCUUGUUGUACUAUACAACUAGUCACUUCAAAGAUUUGGUAAGUUGAAGGGUCAGUUUUCCUGUUGAAGUUGAUGCCCUUGGGGGUUGGAGUGCUUUCUUAAGGUGUGAAAUAUGGAUCCAGGAGUUUAU
rnacentral:lncRNA from 10 species